rnacentral:lncRNA from 1 species
GCUGAUUGGGCUGAGCUCAGCAAGACUCUUCUCUCAGCUAAUAGAUACAGGCUGGGCUCCAUUCUGUGUCCUGAGGCCCGAGUCACAGCUGUGGAGUAAAGAGACUUGCGGCCAAUGCCGGCCACCUGAAUCGAUGCCCCAAGAUCCACACACACAAAUAGAUAGAUAGAUAAAUAGAUAGAUAGAUAGAUAGAUAGAUAGAUAGAUAGAUAGAUAGAUAGAUAGAUAGAUAGAUAGAUAAAUGUAAUUUUAAAAAUAUAUAGUGGUAGAGGACAAAUGGUUGUGUGCCUCGUCUCUUAUAACCUGGGCUGGGAACUGCUCUGCUGCCCUUCUUGCCCAGCUUCGAUUGGCCGAAGCAGAUCACAUGAUCAACCUUGACCGGAAACGUCCGGGAGAACAAGGCACCGGAGCAUGGAUCGUUUUUUGGGUUGCCUGGGAUACCUGUGACCCUGUCGCUUCAAAGCAUCGGCCUCCUCAUUUGAACACAGGCACUGAAGGAUCUCAGAUAAAAUGAUAACCUGUUCCAUUUUUGCAUCGAAGCAACUCACCCGGGACAGGUACCAAUGAGCCAAGACCCGCCAUGGGCAAAGAAAACUCAGGACGGUCAACCUGGAAGGAACCCUUCCUCCCAUGAGCUUCCAGAAUGGUGUGCAGUGUUCGGGACUUAGAAUGUACUCAGCAAACACUUGUGGAAACCCGGGUUUUCCAGCACUUACACCAAGCUUCGUUUCUAUCAUCUCAAAAUAGAUCAAAAAGAAAAAAAGACCAGUAUACCCGGCUAGAGAAGUGCUGGUGCCGCUGGG